rnacentral:lncRNA from 1 species
GCACAGCCCAAACACACAUGUCCCUUCCCGAUCCCCCGCCAGACGGACAGACAAACACGCAUGCAAACCGCCCCCACCCGUCUCCACGCGCCCGGGUCCAGCCGGCAGCGGCCAGAGCCGCUCUGCAGCCGGUGCACCCGCAAGGCGAGGGCGCCUCCGCCUGAACCUUCCAUCGAGACAGUCCCCUCCUUCCUCGCUUCCUUCCUUCGCUCCUUCCUUCCUUCCUUCCUUGCCCGGGAGGUAAAGGGAGUCACUGAAAUGCCCAGAGCCAGCGCCUUCGCUGCGCUCGCUCGGCCGCAGGCCGGCGGCCCGGGCCUCGCGCCGCCAGCCCGCCCGGCCGCCUGCGCCGCGCGCCGCGGCCCCCUCCCCCGCUACCUGACAACGGGCCGCCGCCGGCCGCCGCAGCCGCAGCGGUGGCCGGGCCGUGCGCGCCGGUGCACGUCGCUCAUUAGUAAGCAGGCACAUUCCUGCCUCCAGCGCUCCCGCGCGGCCCCCUCCCCCCAGGACAUUACGCAAAGCAGCCUCCCCUCAUCUGCAUAGAUCCGCGGCCAGGGUAUUCCCCGCAUUUCCCCACGCGCCCGACACCCCUCCCGCGGUCUCCCCCAUCCCCGCCCCCUCCGACCCUCACCCUCGGGCCACCGGGAAGGGGCUGGGGGCACACGCCGGGGAGCGGGGGACGGAGUUCGGCGGCGGCGAUUCCAAUAUAAAGUGAAACAAGCUCCCAGCGCCGAAGGAGGCAGGAAAAACCCAGCGUCCAGGCCACUUACCGAGCCGAGGAGGGACCUAGAUUCCCGCCGCUCCGCUCUCGCGGUGGCCGGUCCGCCCUCCGCGCACCCCGAGGCUGCACCCAGCACCCCAGACGCGAGACGUGGAGGAACGCUGUGAACGAGCCGGGAGACCCUCCAAGUUGCUCUGGGCUCCGUGGAGCGUCAAGGUCCAAGACACAACUUGGCAAAGACUUGUGCCACAGUCACCGAAGAUGUUUGUGCGGAGACCCUCCUGCGGGGAACGACGGCGCUCGGCGGCGCCCCGCUCUCCUCCUCUCCACCCCCUCACCUCCAGCCCGCCUCCCGCCGGCCGCCCGCCUCCGGGCCGCGAGCCCCUCGGGCGGCUGUCAGCUCCCGGCCGCCGCCGGGUGACAGGGGCGGGAGGAGGGCGCGACGCGGCGGCCCGAGCCCCAGCGGGCGAGGGGGAUCCUCGCAGCCGCGGCGGCCGCUCACCUGGAAAGUCACCGCUGAGGAGGAGGAGAAGGAGGACGGGGAGGAGGAGGGAGAGGAGGAGGGGGAGGAAACCCCCCUGGUGCCCUUGUUCUCGCUGCCGCGGCGGCCGCUCCUCGCCAAGGCUGAGCGUGUCUGGUGGGGGGUGUCUGGUAGCAUUUCCUUAAGGACAGAGGGAGGGCGGGCGCGGAGGGAGGGAAAAGAUCCCGACCGCCAGCCCAGGCUCCUCUUGCCUUUAUUUAUUUUUCUGACACUGUACGGAGAUGGGCCCGGGGCAGGGGCCGCCGGGCUCAGGCGGGAGCCGCGAGGCCCGGGCCGCAGCUGUCUGCGUGCGGGAGCCGCAGCGGCCGCCUCCCCUCCCGGGCUGUGGACGCACCGGGUUAUUCCUGGCAGCGCCUCCCCGAACAGAAGUUACUAGGAGGAGUGCGCGGCGAGGGCGGACGGGGGGAGAGGCGGAGGGAGGGAGGGAGGAAGAGGGAGAGACUCAGCCAACGACGUCAUCGGAUCCCCCAGCGCGUCCCAGGGAGGGAGGCUGAACCAGAAAAACCAGUCUGGAGCCAGUGAGCGAGAGAGGGAUGUGCGGCGCGCGGGGCGACGGGGGAGGGAGGCGGUCGGGAGGGCAGGGCCGGGCCCCACGGCUGCCGCUGCGGGCGGGGAGAUCGCGGCCGCGCACUCGCUCGGUCGGAGCGGGGAACUCCCCGGAGAGCUGGUCUCUACUUGUCAUGCAAAAAAACUUGGGCAUCUCUAGGAGCCUGAGAAUUUCCUUUAAGGAUGUGGAAACGUCCUCCGUCCCCACCCCUUCCCCAUUUCCCAGAGAAUCGUUGUCUGCCUUCCUGACGAACGGAAUUGUAUAAUUAGUAGUGCCCUUAGAUUUGGAACCAGUACUCCGGAUCCCUGGCCUCUCCUCGCCCCCUGCCUCUACUCACAAUUAUGUUAUCGGUCAAGAAAAGCAAAAUCAGACUGUGGCUCCCGGCUGGGUUUCUGGAGCUUUGUAGGGUUUUACUAGCACUUUCCGUGCCCCUGCGGGCGCGCGAACUAUUCACGUGCUCGAAACGCCCGGAUUACCUUCCCUGAGGUCACUCACCAGGGUGCCCCCGGCACCCCCAGUUCGGGGACCGCGGCCCGCCCUCGCCAGGGGAUUCAAAUAGGUGUGGGCAGCGGCGCGAAGAGCAGCUGCCGGUUUCCUGGUGGGCCGCGCUGGAACCUCGGGGCGAGCUGCCACCUUCAGCCUGUGCGCUUCCCUCUCCACGGAAGGGACCGGAGUUGAAAUCACAACCAACCCUGGGAGAGCGGGGCCGGGAGGCGGGGGAAUCCCAGGCGAGUGGGAGCCGAAGCUCUGGGCUUCCUCCCCGGCCGGGCGACACCCGGGGGACACCGGGGCUCUCUCGGGCCGUUACCCUGCCUAUGUGGACUGGUGUGCACCCUCGGGGGAGGUUCCUAGGGUGCCACGGUGCCCGAGCGCGACGAGUGACUGCUGGGGAGGGGGGCCGGGUCCCGGAGCGCCUCCUCCGGGUGGUCUCCCCCCCAGCGGGGACCGCGCGCAGCACCUCGCGGGCGCCCCAGCCCCCGCACCCUGCGGAGCAGAGCCGAGCGCCCAGGACGCCGCGGGCCCCAGCGGUCCUCCCCACCCCCUGGCCGCGCCGCCGCCCUGCCCGGGGCGGAGUAAACAAGAGACGCGCAAGAUUUGACCUGGCGCGACCCGGCUUUCUGGCCGGGGUUCCCCCUGAGCAGGUGACUCCGUGGGAGGGGUGGAAAUGAGUCUCUGGAAUUCCGGGCCAAAGACAAUAACUGUGGUUCUGCUUUUAAAGCAGGUAUUUCACCAGCAACUGCGGAAUGUUUUGUGUCUCCAGUUUCAAAUUUCGCGGAAAGGGACCAAAUGUGAGGACAUAUAAAAUAUCCCCUUCUCUUUUCAUUAAAAAUGAGUGCAUUACAAAGGAAGGGCAGCCCCUUAAUGCCUGCGAGAAUAGCGCUGCUGGUUUCGUUUUUGUUUUGUUUUGUUUUGUUUUUCAUUCUGACCCACAAUCAGUGUAUUUUUGAGGUCCCUAUGCAAUGGCGACGGUGCCGUGAAGGGCAACUCAGCAAAAUAAAGCGGUGAUACAUUUUUUAACCGAUUUUUUUCUCAGAGGAGAAAAAUCUGAACAAUUUGGCCUAAGUUUCACUUUGUCCUUCUCUUAGGUUGAUCUCAUUUAAAUUCAGGGCCUACUUCCACUUAAGCAACUUCUUCUUUCAUUGUAUAGGUUCUUUAAUAUCCAACCUUUUUAAACUUAACUUGAAGCCUUUAAUUUAAAAAACUGUCCCAAUCAUCAUUUUCUUUUCAAUGUAUGCAGUUGCAUUUUAAACAUCCAUUUAACACACAAAAUGUGAUUUUUGAAAUUUUUUUCACUUUCAAACCCACCUGCUACAUACUCCCAGAGAGCGUUUUAUUUAAUUGCUUAAUAGAGAAGAUUAAGCAGUUUCUUUAAGAAUCCAAUUUCCCUUCAACAAGCACAACAGCAGCUGCCCAAGCUCCCAGAAACUAAGCAAAGGCAAGUAGCAGGCAGCGUUUUGCUUCACUAGAAUGAAUGUUAGUUGAAACCUUAAAUACCUCUUUAAAAGACUAGAUUAAAGAGAAUAAUGGGAAUAUUAAGAUACUCCGGUAGUUAGUUAAAAUAUUUUUUAAGGAAAACCAGGCAGAUAUACAUCUAUUUUGAUGAUUUGAUCCCACCUUCAAAGAGGAUCCCUGAAAAGAGUUUUAGUCACAAUUUGACAAAUUUUAAAUAAUUACUUUGUUUCAGAGUCAUGAGGAUGGAAAGAAGAUAGCCUGCGUUGAGUUGAAGUAAAGUAAAAAUAUUAUGAAUAUGUGUAACUAGGUGACAUCCUCUCUGCUGGGAAGAAUCCUUUUUUUUUUUUUUUUUUUUUUUCUGGUGACAGGUUCUUGCUCCAUCACCCAGGCUGGAGUGCAGUGGCAUGAUCUUGGCUCACUGCAGCCUCUCCCUUUCAGGCUCAAGCAAUCCUCCCACCUCAGCCUCCCGAGUGGAGGGGGAGCCACUGCAGAUCUGGAGCAAAUCAGCACCAGCCACUCCAGAGCCUGACCUACAUAGGACUCAGAAAGCAUUGUCUAUUGUGAUUGAUUAUUCCUGUGUUCAGUCCCAAUGGCCUAUUGAUUGGGGGUUUCUCUCCAAAAGGCUGCAUGGCUUUUCUUCUCUAAGUGAAUCUCCUUUAUAACCCAUAUUUUAUGUCUAUAUACCAAACAUGCUAUCCAUAUUUAGUCAAUGUCCAGUUGCUUGCAUGUAAGGGCAAUAGAGUAAUCAGAAAACUCUUCCCAGAAAGCCCCCGAAGACAAAACUAGUACUGGUAGAAAACUGGGCAUGCAGCUCUAAGAAACUCUAUGGGAAGUGAGGCUGGGUGGGGCACAGCUGCCCCAGCCUGGCACCCAUAUGGAGCAUCAGCAAGGAAGUAGGAACUUUCUUUUCAUCAUGCAUCCUUCUUAUCACUUCUCAGUUUCAAAGGGAAAGAAAAUUUGGUAAUCUGCAUUUUGAGACAUUAAGAAAAUAAAAUAAUUAAUGGCUUCAUGGUUAUAUGGCAUUUUUCAGAGUAUUGUCAGAAAAUCAUUUCGAACUGAAAUUUUCAUUCAAAAAUAUUUAUUGAAUGCCGGCUAUGUGCUGAAGAUUCUUAAGAUACAUCAGUGAACAAAUCAAAGUUCCCUGCUUUCUUGGAGCUUGCAUUCCAGCGGGAGGAGAGGAUUUGGAGGAAGAAUGGGAUAGACAAUAAAUCACAAGACCUCCUGCCACAGAGCAUGGGACCUGAUAUAUCCAGGCAGGAGAACUGGGUACCAGGAGACACUGUACAUGAAGUUUCCAGAACCAGCCAUGUCCAUCUUACUAAUCAAGACUCUCUCUGUUAAAUCUGCAACUCAAAUGACUUUAAGGAAAAAUGGAUUUCAUUGAUUCACAUAACCAUCACUCAAGGACUAACUUUCAACAUAGUGAGAUCCUGAGGCUCAAAUAUUAUUACCCGGGUUCCAUGAACUGCUUCCUCUGACAUGAGAUCUAACAAGGCUAAAGACUAAAAUGCAGCUGUUUACAGCGUAAGUAGGAGGCCGUCCCGUGCAGUGCAAAAUCAACAGAGAGGAGACAGUCCUAUGCCUUCGAGAGACAGUCUGCUGAUACUGUCAUGAUGUCUAGUGACAGGCCAGAGAUCAAAACCCAACACCCUCAUUUACCUGACAGUGAUUUGGCCAAUCCCUUAACAUCUCUAAGAGCUUCAUUUUUCUACAAAAUUGAGACAAUAGUAUUUGUUUCAUAGUGUUACUGUCAGGGUUAAAUGUUAUACAUUAAGCAUUUAAUAUAUGCUGCUUGUUUAUCUAAAUAUUCAUGGUCAGGCACUAACUUCUUAUGUGACUCUGAGCAAUGCAUUCAUCUCUGUACCUGUUUCCUCAUCCAUAAAUUGGGAGUUGAACAAGGUGAGCCCUAAGUUUCGUUCCAACUUCAAUAUUCUAUAAUUCUUGCAACUUAUAUGGCCUCAGUUUUCUUAUCUUUAUAAUGGGCAUAAGAGUACCUACCUCACAGAAUUUUUGAGAGGAUAAAAUGAAUUAAGACAGGUAGAAAAUUCUUAGAACAGUGCCUGCCACAUUGGAAGUGCUUAAUAUGUAUUAGCUGUGAUGAUGCUGCUAAUGAUGAAGAUGAUAAUGACCCUAUUUGCAGAUAGUAUGGCAGCCAUAAAACAUUCAGUAUCAGAUUGAUUACAUUCUCUUAUUUUCUGAGUCAAUGCCAGAGCUACCAAGAUUUUAUUCUUUAAAGGUUCUUCAAGACUAAAUUCUUUUUACAUGAUAUGAUUAUUACACAUUGUAUGUCCGUAUCAGACCAGCCUGGCCAACAAGGUGAAACCCCAUCUCUAAAAAUACAAAAAUUAGCAGGGCAUGGUGGCACGCACCUGUAGUCCCAGCUACUCGGGAGGCUGAGGCAGGAGAAUCACUUGAACCCGGGAGGCAGAGAUUGCAGUGAGCUGAGAUCGUGCCACUGCACUCCAGCCUGGCAGAGUGAGACUCCAUCUUAAAAAAUAAAUAAAUAAAUAAAUAAAUAAAUCUCAUGUACUCCAUAGAUAUGGGGUACCUACUAUGUACUCACAAAAAUUAAUUUUUUUUUAGAAAAGCCUAAGCUCAUUUGCUUCUUAGUAAGAAUUAUGUUAAGAUUUCCCAGUGUAGAUACCCUAGGCUGCUAAUUUUUUUUCUUUUGUUAUCAGUAUCUUAAGAAAUUAAUUGGCCCGGGAGUGGUGGCUCAUGCCUGUAAUCCCUGCAGUUUGGAAGGCCAAGAUGGGAGGAUUGUUUGAGGCCAAGAGUUCAAAACCAGCCUGGGCAACAUAGUGAGAUACUAUCUGUAUAUAAAAUAAAAAAAUUAGUGAGGCAUGGUGUCAUAAGCCUGUGGUCCCAGCUACUUGGGAGGCUGAGGUGAGAGGAUUGCUUGAGCCCAGGAGGUCAAGGCUGCAGUGAGCUGUGAUGGUGACACUGCACUCCAGCCUGGGCUAUAGAGCAAGACCCUGUCACCCUCCUCAAAAAAAAAAAAAAAAAGCAAUUAAUUGAUUUAUUUAUGGCCAUUCUCUCUUUUUGUGAGCUGGAUAUGUGUUCACUUUCAUUCUAAAAACGUACAGCCCCCAAAGCCCACACAUGUUGUCAAAGCUCACUACAUUUACCUAGAGAGUUUCCUGUAGUCUCCUCUUUCAAGUAUUUUAAAUAAUGCGUAAUUUCUUCAUGUAACUGAAACAUGUUAAUGUUGAGUUGGCACAGGAAGAAAAGUUUUGAUUUACUCAGAACUGGGAUUUGUGUGGGUCAUUUCCUAGUCCUCCUAAGUAUUUAACAAAUGUAAAAUGUAACACACAAUUAAAUAAGCUACCCAAGCCAAAUGAACUGGUGAGUGCAUUAUAAAUAGCAACCAAAAUUAUUCUUCAGUUGUUAACUGGUAUGUCCUGAUUUAAUAAUGAAUUACAUCAUUUGACAAAUGAGAUAAGACUUCCACCUUUAGCUUUCUGAUCCAAACUUCUAAUAGUUGAAAUGUAUUAUUACCAUCUGGUGUCUGGCCUCUGAAAUGCCCUGGCGAUAUCUGCCUCAUUUCAAGUAGUUGGGGCUUGCAUAUGCCAGCAAAGCACUCUCCGAAGUGUCUUGAUUGGCAGGCCCAGAGAGAAGGCUAAGAACCGAAUGAACCAUGGAGAUAUAGCUCCAGCUCUGUAGAAGUUUCCUCUGGUUCAAGGCAGACUCAUUUUCUUAGUUUGUGCAGCAAAAAAAUUGUCAUGAUCGAAGUUGUUUUUAUUUUGGAUCUCAAUCCUGAAGGAUGCAAUUCCUAUACUUACCAAGAAUGUUUCCAUCUGUUUUAAAUUAUUUCACUCCUUUUACAAACUGGCAAUAAUUUUAACACCUUUUAUUUUCAGUGAAAAUAAUUCGAGAAUGAAGCUGAGAAUGAUACAUAAGCCUAGAGUUUUAACUCAGUGAAGUAAUAUGAUUCUGACAGUUCUUUAUUUUUUCCACAUUGUGUUAGAUUCCUAGUAAAAAGGGAAGAUGAAUCUUAUUGCUUUCAAAAACCUGACAAUAUGGUAUGUAGGACAGAAUGAACAUACAUAGAACAAUAUCCAAUAACACAGAUGAAGGUGUCAAAGCCAUUGCCAGACAGAGUGGUGCAGAUUGUGAGAUCAGUUUUCUUGGUAAGUGUUAUGGACUGAAUGUUGGUAUUCUCUAACAUUCAUAGAUUAUAAUCUAAUCCCCAAUGUGAUGGUAGCACUAUCUGGGGGUGAGACCUUUGGGAAGUAAAGGUCUUUUUCUCUCCACACCUGACCAAAAGUAGGAGCUCAACAAAUGUAUGUGCACUGAAAUGGAAUGGGGGCAAACAGCCUGGUGGUAUAGUACAAAGCAAAAUUUGGUUAUGGUAGGAGCAGUACAGAUACAUCUGGAUCACAAUCUAAAUUCUCUCCAGGGACCAAAUACAUAGAUUUACCCCUUGGGUUAUUGGUCUGGUAGACUCUUAAUUUUUAAUAGGGUUUAUAUAAUCUAGACUUCUUAUAACCUCUGCCCCACUGGAUAUAGGUAUUACUCAGUUGAAGUUAAAAAUUGAAUAUAGGAUUAUAUGCAAUGCUUUAUCUAUAACUUUCUUGUAAGGAUAAACUCAGUACAUCUCUGGUUUUCUAAUAUUUUGGAGGAAAUGUUACAAAUAGGUAAGGAAAGUUUGAGCCUCAUUUACGCAUGAGGGUGGACCCCUCCUGAAUGAGAUUAAUGUCCUUAUAAGAAAAGGCCAGAGAGCUAGCUCACUCUCUUUCAGCAUGUGAGGACACAAGAAGCCCAGAGUCUGCAACCUGAAAGAGGGCCCUCACUAGAACCCAAUCAUGCUGACGCUGUGAUCUUGGACUUUCAGGCUCCAGAACUGUGAGAAAUAAAUUUCUGUUGUUUAUAAGCCAUCCAUUUCAUGACAAUUUGUUAUAGUGGCCUGAACAAAGACAAUAGGUAUAAAAGAGAAUUGAUAAAGAUGAAAUUUAGGAAUACAAUUAGAAGUGAAAUGCAAAUAACAAGAGGGUGACCCCGGAGUAGAAAAGUGUCUGUGUCUGGUAGAUUUGAAUAGUUUACAAAUGCCAAGCCUGUGCAAAAUAGGAGUUACCAAUAUUAAUGGCUGCAUCAUUACAAGGUGUAUCCAAAAGACACUUAAGAUUAAGUCUGUGUUUGUCAGUGGGGAGGUGAGAGUAGGAAAUGUUAAAUAACCUGCCCUUUGUCACUCAGCCAACAAGUAAGAGAGCAGGGAAUCAAGUUCAGAUCUAAGUCCUCUAAAGUUAUUCCCCAAACUCCUCACAGCUUCACUUAAUAACCAUUUCCUGCUUUGGUUGACUUUACAAAGAUGACCAUACAUUUGAGAGCAAAAGGGGAAGCUAUGAAUCAUUACAUCUGGACAAAUGGCAUGAAUCAAGAUCAUCCACUGCCAACUAGAGUGUAUGUUCAUCUUCUGUCUAUAUAUCUUCAUUCCCAGACAUCUACCAGACAUCCAGUGACUUAUCUGAGAAGUACACUUGGAGGUCAGUUUCUUGGAGUAAAUUGAUCAAAGUGUUAAAAUUCUGGAAAGUUAUUGUAUUUUAAAAUAGUUCACACAAAAAAAUAGUACAAUGAAAUGAAUCACUAUUAGUGGAAUUUCAGGCCCUCAGGUACCUGAUAAUAAGAACUCUUUCAAAACAACAUAACUUUCCUGGUACCUGUCAAAUCACAAUUUCUAUAUGAGAUAUGGCCAGCUGGGUAUUCAAGGAUAAUUGGUCAGCUACUGUGAUGAUUAAUAUGGAGUGUCAACUUGUUUGCAUUGAAGGAUGCAAAGUAUUGUUCCUGGGUUUGUCUGUGAGGGUUGUAUUAGUCUGUUUUCAUGACACUGAUAAAGACAUAUCUGAGACUGGGCAAUUUACAAAAGAAAGAGGUUUAUUGGACUUUCAGUUCCACAUGGCUGGGGAGGCCUCACAAUCAUGGUGGAAGGUGAAAAGCACAUCUCACAUGGCGGCAGACAAAAGCAGAGAGCUUGUGCAGGGAAACUCUCAUUUUGAAAACCAUCAUAUCUCAUGACACUUAUUCACUAUCAUGAGAACAUCAUGGGAAAGACCUGCUCCCAUGAUUCAAUUACCUCCCACUGGGUCACUCCUACAACACGUGGGAAUUCAAGAUAACAUUUGGGUGAGGAUACAGCCAAAUCAUAUCAAGGGUGCUGCCAAAGGAGAUUAACAUUUGAGUCAGUAGACUGGAAGAGGCAGACCCACCCUCAAUCUGAGUGGUUACCAUCUAAGCAUCUGCCAAUGCAGCUAGAAUAAAGCAAGCAGAAGAAAGUGGAAUGAGAAGACUUGCUGAGUCUUCUGGUCAUCAUCUUUUCCCCAUGCUGGAUGCUUCUUGCCCUUGAACAUCAGACUCCAAGUUCUUCAGCUUUCAGACUCUUGGACUUAGAGCAGUGGUUUGCUAGGGGCCCUCAGGCCUUCAGCCACAGACUGAAGCCUGCACUGUCGACUUCCCUACUUUUGAGGUUUUGGUACUUGGAUUGGCUUCCUUGCUCCUCAGCUUACAGCUGGCCUAUUAUGGGACUUCACCCUGUGAUCGUGAGUCAAUUAUCCUAAUAAACUCCCCUUCAUAUAUACAUAUAUAUUAUUAGUUCUUACCUCUAGCGAACCCUGACUAAUACAGAUUUCUAGAUGUACAGAUGGAUUGAGAGGCAAACACUCUAAAUUAACAAGGCAGAAAUGAAAGAGCUGUUCUGCCCAAGAUCUUCAGCACUGCUCAGACCUCUAUAAGAAUUUCUUAUCCAGUUCAAAACUUAUCAACUUAAGAAAAAUAUAGAAAAUUUGUAAAGCAUUCAGAAGAAACUAAAGACUAAAGCAAAAUGAUAUGUUCAAAUACUUAACACUGCCAAAAUGUAAUGCAUUUCAAUAAAGUGAUAUAUGUCCUUAACUCACACAAAUUAAUAAAUGUCUAAUAGACAUACAUAUGGGAAGUGAAUAUCAAAUGCCUGUGUACUAUUUGUAUAAAAUCUAAGUUAAAACUCAUUUCCAUCCCAAAGAUGUGUGAUAUGUAAAAUAAUAUUCUACGUAUUUUGUUUAAUUUUGGGGGGUCAUUUAAGAUUUUUUUAUUUGCAGAAAAAAGAUGCUACAAACAAAAUUAAUGGGAAAAAACAAAAAUUAGUACCAAAAGAGGAAACGAGGACAAGGAAAAACACGAGCACAUAGAAAAAUGUAAAAAUACUCAAGCCAGGCUCAGAGAACCAGCAUCCCUGACAGCAAGUGUUGUUAAACAUCCACGUGGGUUGCUAAGGAAGGUUAGGGAAUCUCCCUUUCCCAGAAGUCUUUAAAAAUAGGAUAACAUCUGUUUGGAUGGGAUAAUGGUGGUACUGCUUGACUUGGCAGCUUCUUAAGCAAACCUAUGGUUUGGUAAUUCUACCAUUUCUAUUUCUGAUUUGAAAAGUAACAAAUAACUUCAGUUCACCUAGAAAAUUGGGCCUUAUAAUGACUUGUAAUAUUGUCUUAUAAAACUAUUUUCAUUGUCAUUAAUAGUGCAAAGGUAGAUAAUUGAGGUUUUCAGAGUAUACUUGAAUUUGCAGCCAAGGCUCAAACUUUCCUUAUCUAUUUGUAACAUUUCCUCCAAAAUAUUAGAAAACCAGAGAUGUACUGAGUUUAUCCUUACAAGAAAGUUAUAGAUAAAGCAUUGCACAUAAUCCUAUAUUCAAUUUUUAACUUCAACUGAGUAAUGCCUGUAUUCAGUGGGGCAGAGCUUAUAAGAAGUCUAGAUUAUAUAAACCCUAUUAAAAAUUGGAGUCUGCCAGACCAAUAACCCAAGGGGUAAAACAUAUAUAUUUGGUCCCUGGAGAGAAUUUAGACUGUGAUCCAGAUGUAUCUGUACUCCUCUUACCAUAACCAAAUUUUGCUUUCUACUAUACUACCAGACUGUUUGCCCCCAUUCCUUUUCACUGCACAUAUAUUUGUUGAGCUCCUACUUUUGGUCAGGUGUGGAGAGAAAAAGCCCACAGUCCCUGCCCUUGAGGAACACAUAAUCCAAAAAAAAAUGCAUGGGUGGCUCCAGGUGUUGUAGGGUCUUAGGCAAGUAUAAUUUUGGACAUGCAUUUUAAGAAAAAGAAUACAAAAUUACAAAUGCAGAAUUACUAAUAAAAGUGAAUAUUUAUUGUAUAGAGAAAAUUAAUCACAACAAAUUACAAGUUUUAGCAUUCUCACAAAUGCCAGAAAUACCACAAAAUCUCAGAAAAAAACCUAUAUUUUGUAUUAAUUAGCUGACUGAUCACAUGUAUAAUUCUACGUGUUCUACUUUUGGUUGCAUAUUGUUGACCACAUGAGAAAAAUUUCUUUAUUUACUUAUUCAGAUGGAGUUUCGCUCUGUCGCCCAGGCUGGAGUGCAGUGGCGCUAUCUCAUCUCACUGCAACCACUGCCUCCCAGGUUCAAGCGAUUCUCCUGCCUCAGCCUCCCGAGUAGCUGGGACUACAGGGGCAUGCCACCAGGCCCAGCUAAUUUUUGUAUUUUUAGUAGAGACGGGGUUUCACCAUGUUGGCCAGGAUGGUCUCAAUCUCUUGACCGCAUGAUCCACCCGCCUCGGCCUACAAAAGUGCUGGGAUUACAGGCGAGAGCCACCACGCCAGGCCAAGAAUUGUUUAUAUUAUUUUCUAUACAGAGAAAACAGUGAUAAUUUAUUCAGUCAUUCCUUUGGCAUGAUUGAAAUUUGUUUUCUUUCUGGCUCACAACUCUUUAAUAAUUAUAAGUAAGUUUUCAGGAUUGUUGUCAAGUACAGGAAAACUUCAGUCAAAUUUCUUUCAUAUAUGAACUGCAAGAGCUAUAAGAUUUCAGGGCAUUGAUAAUUUUCUUGCAUGUAAGUAAUUUUAAAUACUCUUUCAAUUGAUGUUACUCAUUAACCAGCUUGUCACUGGUGUCCUUGUUGUAAUGGUGUAGUGUGAGUUCAAUUUUAUCUCUGUCAAUGUCAGGAUUGUGUAUCAAAUUUGAAAGAAAUUUAAGUAUUUUCUCAAAGAGUUCAUGUGAUUCAGUCCUCUGGGUUAAAUGUGUUAUCAAAAACUAAAAAGCCCAUUCAGUACUUCCCUCUUCCUGUUAAUGAAUUAUUGCUCUUUGUAUUAUCUAAAAAUAUUUCUGUUACAAUUUACUUCUUGAUGUCAAAGUGAUUUCUAUUUGACUUUAUCUCUCAAUUGUUUUUUCAUAUCCUAUCAAAUUUCAUCUGCAUUUUCUCCCAGUUUCUUAUUACAUUAAUUCAUAGAUGACAAAAGAGUUACUCUUCAUAUAUGCCCAUAUUAGGAGUCAUUGAUUUCUG